UACGUAGGGCGCAAGCGUUGUCCGGAAUUAUUGGGCGUAAAGAGCUCGUAGGCGGCUUGUCACGUCGGAUGUGAAAGCCCGGGGCUUAACCCCGGGUCUGCAUUCGAUACGGGCUAGCUAGAGUGUGGUAGGGGAGAUCGGAAUUCCCGGUGUAGCGGUGAAAUGCGCAGAUAUCGGGAGGAACACCGGUGGCGAAGGCGGUUCUCUGGGCCUUACCUGACGCUGAGGAGCGAAAGCGUGGGGAGCGAACAGG
rnacentral:rRNA from 1 species